GGCGAGGCUCUGGUGGGCGCGAGGCAGGGGAGGGGGGAGGAGGAGGAGCCCGCGGCCCGGGCGGCGGCGGCGGCGGCGGCGCCCGAGUUCCCCGUAGGGCCCCGCCUCGGAGCGGGCGGCGGUGGAGGAGGAGCAGGAUGGCGGCCUCGGCCCUGUACGCCUGCACCAAGUGUACCCAGCGCUAUCCCUUCGAGGAGCUCUCCCAGGGCCAGCAGCUCUGCAAGGAAUGUCGGAUUGCGCAUCCUAUUGUAAAAUGUACUUACUGCAGAUCAGAAUUUCAACAAGAGAGCAAAACUAAUACAAUUUGUAAGAAGUGUGCUCAAAAUGUGAAGCAAUUUGGCACACCUAAGCCUUGUCAGUACUGUAACAUAAUUGCAGCAUUUAUUGGUACAAAGUGUCAGCGUUGUACAAAUUCAGAAAAAAAAUAUGGACCACCUCAGACCUGUGAACAGUGCAAACAACAAUGUGCUUUUGAUCGAAAGGAGGAAGGAAGAAGAAAGGUUGAUGGAAAGUUGUUAUGCUGGCUCUGUACUUUAUCAUACAAGAGAGUUUUACAGAAGACAAAAGAACAAAGGAAGAGCCUGGGAUCUUCACAUUCAAACUCAUCUUCUUCAUCUCUUACCGAGAAAGACCAGCAUCAUUCAAAACAUCACCACCACCAUCAUCACCAUCACCAUCGUCACAGCAGUAGUCACCACAAAAUCAGCAAUCUGAGUCCAGAACAAGAGCAGGGACUGUGGAAACAGAGCCAUAAAUCCUCUGCAGCAAUUCAGAAUGAAACUCCAAAGAAAAAGCCCAAAUUGGAAUCUAAGCCAUCUAAUGGAGAUAGUAGCUCUAUAAAUCAGUCAGCAGAUAGUGGGGGAACAGACAAUUUUGUCCUUAUAAGUCAACUGAAAGAAGAAGUGAUGUCACUUAAACGUCUCUUACAGCAGAGAGACCAGACCAUUUUAGAAAAAGAUAAAAAGUUAACUGAACUAAAGGCAGACUUUCAGUACCAAGAGUCAAAUUUGAGAACAAAGAUGAACAGUAUGGAAAAAGCUCACAAAGAAACUGUGGAACAACUUCAGUUAUUACUGCUGAAUGAUUACCUGGCAACAGAAUCUUCUGCAUGAUGAUCUCUGAUUUAAAGUGGUGUAACCAAAACUCUGGAGUAAAUCCAGAAUUGAGGCCAAAAACAGAGAACUACUCAAACAGGUCGCAGCAUUGUCAAAGGGUAAAAAGUUUGACAAAAGUGGAAGCAUACUAACGUCCCCUUGAGAAAGUAGUUAUUCAUGUAGUGUUUCUGCUGAAAAUGUAAAUUUGAGAAAAAUUCUGUGAAGCCCUUAAAUUCUGUGUAGUGGAGAAAUAUUUUUGCACACCAGAUGAAUUGGCGUGUUUCCUAUUCACUUUUGUAACUGAUAUACAGCAUUUUUUAAGUUGUAAAACGUUCAAAUAAAACUUCAACUGGCUUGAAGUUACUUUUUAAUGAUUUGCUAUCCAGGAACUUUUUUGCCAGCAAUAGUAUUAAACACUUGUAAAGGAGUGCAUGAGUCGUGCUCUUUAUAAAAUGCAACAUGCAAUAAUAGAGUAGGUGACGGUGUUCAGAAGUCAGAGCAGCAGGGCUUUCGGUUUGUUUUGUUUUUUGUUUUACACUAUGUUGAUUUCAGAUAAACAGUUUUCACUUUAGAAAUACAAAAACUUUUAAACAAAGAAAAUGGUAAACACUGGUUUUUUUGGUAAUUGUGUUUUUACUUUGCAUCAACAUGAAUUUAGGAGAAAAUCAUGGUGCUUUUAUUAAAUGAACUUCAGAGUAUAUGUAAAUAUGUUUUUAAAAGUUACAUCAUUAACAUUAGUUAGUAAACUAGUAUUUUCAUUAUUGGUAUAAGAAUUAAUGUUUAUUGUACAGUAUCCAAGGUAAAAUGUGUUCUGUUUUGUACAAACUACUGUAGAUUUUUACUUACAAGUGCCUUUUUGCCACCUAAUGUUUUUAUUUAUAGGAAUGCUGAUCUUUUGUACAUACAGUUUGUUUUAAAAUCAUGUUUAAUAAAUGUUUGUAUAUAAAUGCAUAUGUACAGAAGCCUAUUUCAAAAGGAAAUCAGAGUUGUUAGUAAAAUGUUUGAGAUCGCAUUAAGAACUGAUGAUGCAUAUAGACUCUAGAUGAUUUUGUGGUUUGUUUCUGUGUGAUAUGAGAAGCUGUUGGUCACUGAAUUCAUUGAAUUAUGUAAAAAUACACCCCCCAAAGAUUUAAUUUUAAAUCAUUUCUGAUAGAGUAAUUUUAUUUUUUAUGUCAUAUGGCUUCAUGUUCAUAUUUCUUGAGUUACAUGUUCUGCUUUAUUUUUCUUUUAUAAAAGCUUUUGAAAAUUUAUAAUUUCCUGCAGUGGUCCAUAUAUCUGCCUUUUAUCUAAGUUAAUAUUUAUGUACACCAUAUUUGAUUUGUAAGUUUAAAGCAAAUCUGGAAAAAUUUAAAUAACUUAAAUCAAUCCAUGAGUAUCUUUGAAUAAAUUGGAAUCUACUAUAAGAUACAGGCACUAUUUAUAAGAAAAUUAUAUCAGAGUCUUUAAAAUUGUCUAUAAAGGUUAAGGUAGGUUGGGAUAGGUUAUGUAAAGUUAUUGACUAAUUAUUUUCUGAUCCAGUGGUUUUUCAGCCUUUAAUGGAAUUAAUCUCCUUAAUAAAUGCCAGUUCAGACUAUUAGUUCAGUUGUAAAGCAUCAGGCAUUGCUAGAUAUACUGGAGAGAGUGGAAGAGAGUUCCUUCUCUUAGGAAUUUAUGGGCAAGGAUAAAUUUGUUUUAAGUAAACUGUUAUUAAAUGUAUUAGUUUUUAAGUUUUUAAACAAUGUUUAUGAAUGUCAGGUCAAAGAUCAUCUUUCCUCAGAACACAGGAUGAUUACAAUAAUUGUUUUUAACAUAACCGAUGUUUCAGGAGAUGAUUCCUGCAGCUUUUCAUUAUAUGUUGAUAUCAAAUAAUUCUUUGUCCAAUUUGAGAACAUUAUCUAGGGUAAUUUUGAAGUAAUAUAGCAAAAGAUUGAAUCAGUCAGACUUGACUUGGAAAAAUUAAACCAGUUUAUUUUUAUGAGCUCUUCAUGCAAUAAUCUUCCUAAAUUUAGUACUCUCAACAAUGAGAGAUAAUGCCUUCUUAACACAGAUUUUAAUGUUUGUGGGAUUUGCUAAAUUCGUAAGAUAGUCAUUAUCUUUCUUUAAAAUUUAUAAUGUUUUAUAUUCUGGUUUCAUAGCCAUUUAUCAAUCCACAGUGCUCAUUAUGGUUUUAAAAUAAACUGUGUAAUAGUUCUUAUAACAUGUUGGAGCUGCUACUAAAAACCAAGGUGCCCCUUCCCCCUUUUUUAGGAAACAGAUUAAAAAUUGAAAAUCAGUCUCAGUAAUUAAGCUUUGUAAAUUCCAAGGCUAAAACUUUUUAGGGGCUUCACAGUAUUUAGUCCUAAUUAAAUGCCCUCUCUUUAUUCCAUGACCUUAUUUUAUAACUUAAUUUUUUUGCAAUUGUAUAAACUAGUACUUGAGUCCCAGUCCUGGAUCUGUAGUGUAUUGACAAAAUGAGCUGAUAUUCUUUAAAUGUGGACCUGUAAGGAGAUACUAUGGUGUGCCGUAUUGUGCUUUUUAGCCCGUUUUCAGCUAUUAAUUAGCAUUUACCAGUGAGGGUCAUUUUGGCCCAAGUUAUUUAUGUAUUAAUAGCCUGUGAAUAUUGCAGUUCUCUUUAGAUUGUAUUGGUCUAAAUAUGCAUUCUCUGGUGAACCUGAUAAGCUGUUCACAUGUAUAGACUAUUGAAAUACUGUACUUGUACACAUCUGACUGUUGACAUUUUGUACUUUUUUCUAAAUCCAAUAUUUCACAAUAAAAACUUGUCAAAAGUUU